AUCGAAUCGCAGGGGCGCUGGACGCAAGUCCGGCUGAGAUCAGGGCGUAUGGCCGCCCGUGUCCCUUAAACCUGAUCCGGGUAAUGCCGGCGUAGGAAGAGUAUUCGACGAUAGA
rfam:Flavonifractor plautii ATCC 29863 genomic scaffold Scfld554, whole genome shotgun sequence.